GAUGAACGCUGGCGGCGCGCCUAACACAUGCAAGUCGAACGGUUAAAGCUACUUCGGUAGUGCAUAGAGUGGCGAACGGCUGAGUAACACGUGGACAACCUGCCCUCCCCACCGGGACAGCCGCGGGAAACCGCGAUUAAUACCGGGUACGCCCCGCCCCCCACAUGGGGGGCGGGGGAGAGCUAUCGCGGGGGAGGAUGGGUCCGCGGCCCAUUAACUUGUUGGUGAGGUAAAGGCUCACCAAGGCGACGAUGGGUAGCUGGUCUGAGAGGACGAUCAGCCACACUGGGACUGAGACACGGCCCAGACUCCUACGGGAGGCAGCAGUGGGGAAUCUUGCGCAAUGCGCGAAAGCGUGACGCAGCAACGCCGCGUGGGGGAAGAAGGCCUUCGGGUCGUAAACCCCUUUCAGUUGGGACGAAGCUCCGUCGGUGAAUAGCCGGCUGGAGUGACGGUACCUUCACAAGAAGCCCCGGCUAACUACGUGCCAGCCGCCGCCGUAACAC
rnacentral:rRNA from 1 species